CUGGGCAACUUAGCGUCUGCCUGUGAUCCGAGCGGAGGCGAGGGCGUUGGAACGGCUUUGGUUCGCUCACGGACCUCAGUCGCGUGCCGAUCACGGCUCCACUUCAAGCCGGCGGUCCGCAGCGCGAUUUUCCGGAGGGAAGAUCUCGUGGCGGUUAUAGAGAUGGGAAUCGCAUCAGGCGGGAAACCGAGCAGUGCAAACCGUCCGCCGUCGGCAGUGAAGGGAUAGGCUG
rnacentral:SRP_RNA from 1 species